GAUGAACGCUAGCUACAGGCUUAACACAUGCAAGUCGAGGGGAAACGACAUCGAAAGCUUGCUUUUGAUGGGCGUCGACCGGCGCACGGGUGAGUAACGCGUAUCCAACCUGCCCACCACUUGGGGAUAACCUUGCGAAAGUAAGACUAAUACCCAAUGACGUCUCUAGAAGACAUCUGAAAGAGAUUAAAGAUUUAUCGGUGAUGGAUGGGGAUGCGUCUGAUUAGCUUGUUGGCGGGGUAACGGCCCACCAAGGCGACGAUCAGUAGGGGUUCUGAGAGGAAGGUCCCCCACAUUGGAACUGAGAAACGGUCCAAACUCCUACGGGAGGCAGCAGUGAGGAAUAUUGGUCAAUGGGCGAGAGCCUGAACCAGCCAAGUAGCGUGCAGGAUGACGGCCCUAUGGGUUGUAAACUGCUUUUAUAGGGGAAUAAAGUGAGUCUCGUGAGACUUUUUGCAUGUACCUUAUGAAUAAGGACCGGCUAAUUCCGUGCCAGCCGCCGCAGUAA
rnacentral:rRNA from 1 species